rnacentral:lncRNA from 1 species
CUUUUCCGUCUCUUUCUUUUUAUGUCACCAGGGGAGGACUGGAUGGCCAAUCCAGAGCCCCGAGAGACCCUAGGCUGUUUCUGUCCCGCCCUUCCUCUGUGUCUUGAUUUCCUAUUCUGAGAGGCUAUUGCUUAGCGGUUUCCGUGGCAACAGUAAAGCGUGGGAAUUACAGAUAAAUUAAAACUGUGGAACACCUUUCCUCAGCUGCCGCCAAGGUGCUCGGUCCUUCCGAGGAAGCUAAGGCCGCGUUGGGGUGAGACCCUCACUUCAUCCGUUUUUUCUGCAGCUCGAUUUCUUGGUUCCCUGACCAGGAAGCGAGGUGAAUGGCAGAUGGUCAAGGCAGCUCCUUAAGUGGCUUAAGCCUGCCCUGCAGGGGACUCCAACCAGCCCAAGCAACACGGAUCCUGAGGGCGCUCCCAGUUAGGCAUUUGCCCCAUUGGGACACCUCGCCAGAGCAGUGUGUGGCAGGCCCCCACGGAGGAUCAAUGCAGUGGCUGAACACCGGGAAGGAAUGGGCACUUGGAGUCUGGACAUCUAAAACUUGAAUUUCUAGUAAACCAGCACCAGCCUGAAGAUCACAUUCUCAUCGAAAAGUGGAAAGAAGAAAAACUUGAGCCAGCCUGGAAGGACCCUACCUUGUGCUGCUAACCACCAAGACUGCUGUUCGUACAGCAAAAAAGGAUGGACUCAUCACACUGGAGUCAAGAAAGCGCCACCCCCUCCAGAGUCAUGGGCCACAGUCCCAGAGGAAAACCCUACCAAACUAAAGCUACGAAAAAUCUGACUCUUUUCAUCUAUUAUAUUACUCUUCUUUCUUUCCUCGUUCUAUUGCUGACCAUCUAGUUAUUAACAUAACCAAGUCAAUUUCACCUCAAACUAUUGCAUUUAAUGCUUGUCUUGUUGUACCCUGUGGAGACUUGCCAAGUCAAAGACAGCUCUCUACUUCAGAAAAGUACUUCUGUCCCUCCUGACUCUCCUCAGACUGGACAUUAGUAAACUAGGACCAUUUAAUCCAGGGAGAUUUCGAUAAAGACCCCAGUGCCAACCAGGAGUCUUGUCCCCUGAUGUAGAGCUUUUAUGCCAUAGUUGGUCCAACAUUCUGUGGACCACUAAAGAGCAAGGAUGGACUGCCCCAACCACUUUUUGUAAUUUCCUAAAACCAUACAUUCAUUUUACUAGAGGAUCAUAGAAGUUAAAGACUUAAAACAAACUUUAGCAAUGAAGACAGGAUACCAAGAUGCAAAUGCCUGGUUAAAAUGGAUCAAAUAUUCCCUUUGCACGUUAAACAAAAGCAAUUGUUAUGCUUGUGCACAUGGAAGGCCAGAGGCCCAGAUUGUCCCCUUUCCACUAAGGUGGUCCUCCAGUCGACCAGAUGUGGGCUGCAUGGUAGCUCUUUUCCAGGAUUCUACAGCCUGUAUUAAUAAGUCAUGCCAAGCUCUCUCUGCUAUAUCCCAAAGUCCGGCACCCUGUGGGUCAGCCCCCAAGGGCCAUCCAUCCUCCAUCUUCUAACACUAAGUUCAUUUCAUGUCUCUCACGACAGGGAGGAAACUUAGCGUUCCUUGGAGACCUGAAAGGAUGCAGUUAGCUUAAGAAUUUUCAAGAGCUUAUCAAUCAGUCAGCCCUUGUUCAUCCCCGAGCGGAUGUGUGGUGGUAUUGUGAUGGACCUUUACUGGGCACUCUGCCGAAUAACUGGAGUGGCACUUGUACUUUAGUCCAAUUGGCUAUCCCUUUCACCCUGGCAUUUCAUCAACCAGAAGGAAGAAAAGAAAGACAUUGUAAAGCGAGAGAAGCCCCUAUGGGUCUUUCAACUGUCACGUCUAUUUAGACUCAAUUGGAGUCCCACGAAGAAUACCAGAUCAAUUUAAAGCUUGGAAUCAAAUAGCUGCAGGAUUUAAGUCAAUAUUUUAGUGGGUGACAGUUAAUAAAAAUGUAGAUUAGAUAAACUACAUCUAUUACAACCAAUAACAACGAGGUUUUCAUGAGUUAAAAGAAAAACUCAUGUUGGUCCCAGCCCUGAGGCUACCUGACCUGACAAAACUCUUUACACUCUAUGUGUCAGAAAGAGAAAAAAUGGCAGUUGGAGUUUUAACCCAGACUGUGAGGCCCUGGCCAAGGCCAGUGGCCUAUCUCUCAAAACAACUAGACAGGAUUUCCAAAGGCUGGCCCCCAGGUCUAAGGGCCCUAGCAGCAACAGCCCUGUUAGCACAAGAAGCAGAUAAACUAACCCUUAGGCAAAACCUGAAUAUAAAGGCCCCCCAUGCUGUGGUAACUUUAAUGACUACCAAAGGACCUCAUUGGUUACAAAUGCUAGAUUAACCAAGUACCAAAGCUUGCUAUGUGAAAAUCCCCACAUAACCAUUGAAGUUUGCAACACCCUAAACCCCACCACUUUGCUCCUGGUAUCAGAGAGCCUAGUUGAACAUAACUGUGUAGAGGUGUUGGACUCAGUUUAUUCUAGCAGGCCCAACCUCUGAGACUAUCCUUAAACAUCAGUAGACUGUGAGUGGUACGUGGACGGGAGUAGCUUCGCCAACCCCUGCAAAGUGACUCUGAAGAAGACGACAAGCCCUGCUCCAUUCACACCCAGAAGCUGACUGGUCCACGCACGGCCGAAGCAUGAGAAGACUCAUUGCGGAACUCAUUUUCCUUAAAAUUUGAACUUUUACAGUAAGGACUUCAAAUGACCUUCCUCAGAGUGAGGACUGUUCCCAGUGUAUACAUCAAGUCACUGAGGUAGGACAAAAGGUUGCUACAGUCCUAUUAUUUUAUGGUUAUUAUAAGUGUACUGGAACCUAAAAAUAACUUGUUUGUAUAAUGUUAUUCUGUACAAGGUAUGUAGCCCAGGAAGUGACCAACCUGAUGUGUGUUAUGACCCAUCUGAACCUCCCAUGACCACGGUUUUUAAAAUAAGAUUAAGGACUGAGGACUGGUGGGGGCUCAUAAAUGAUACAAGUAAAGUGUUAGCCAAAACAGAAGAAAAAGGGGUGCCCAAACAAGUCACCUUAAAAUUUGAUGCCUGUGCUGUCAUUAAUAAUAAUAAGUUAGGAAUAAAGUGUGGUUCUCUUAAUUAGAAAAGAGGCUAUAUGGCAGAAAAUAAGUACAUCUGUCAUAAAUUAGGACUGUGUGGAAAUAAAUGUAAAUACUGGUCUUGUGUCAUUUAGGCCACUUGGAUUAAAAAAAAAUGAAAAGGAUCCAGUCCACCUUCAGAAAGGAAAAAAAUGGCCCUUCCUGUACUAAGGGACAAUGUAGCCCCUUAGAGCUAGUAAUAACCAAUCCCCUUGAUCCUUGCUGGAAAAAAGAGGAGCAUGUGACCUUAGGAAUCAAUGGGGCUGGACUGAAUCCUCAAGUAAAUAUCUUGGUUCGAGAAGAAGUUUACAAAUGCUCUCUUGAGUCAGUGUUUCAAACUUUCUAUGAUGAACUAAAUGUGCCAGUAACAGAAUUUCCAGGAAAAACAAGAAAUUUGUUUUUGCAAUUAGCCGAGCAUGUAGCCCAGUCUCUCACUGUCACUUCAUGUUAGGUAUGUGGAGGAACUGUAAUAGCAGAUCAAUGGCCAUGGGAAGCCCGAGAAUUAGUACCUACAGACCCAGUUCCUGAUGAAUUCUCAGCUCAAAAAAAUCACCCUGAUAAUUUCUGGGUCCUAAAAGCCUCAAUCAUUAGACAAUACUAUAUAGCAAGAGUGGAAAAGGACUUCACCCUUCCUGUAGGAAGACUACAUGGUGGUGUUCAAACCAUACAGAGAAAAAUCCAUUCAGUAAAUUUCCAAAGUUGCAGACCAUUUAGGCCCACCCAGAAUCCCACCGGGACUGGACGGCCCCUACUGGGCUAUACGGGAUAUGUGGACAUAGAGCCUACGCUAAGCUGCCUGACAAGUAGUUGUGUUAUUGGCACUAUUAAACUAUCUUUCUUCUUACUGUCCAUAAAAACAGGAGAACUCCUGGGCUUCCCUGUCUAUGCUUCCCGUGAAAAGAGAAGCAUAGCUAUAAGAAAUUGAAAAAAUGAUAAAUGGCCCCCUGAGAGAAUCAUACAGUAUUAUGGGCCUGCUACUUAGGCACAAGAUGGCUCAUGGGGAUACCGGAUCCCCAUUUAUAUGAUCAACCGAAUCAUAUGGUUACAAGCUGUCUUAAAAAUAAUCACUAAUAAAACUGGCAGAGCCUUGACUAUUCUGGCCCAGCAAGAAACUCAGAUGAGAAAUGCUAUCUAUCAAAAUAGAUUAGCUCUCGACUACUUGCUAGCAGCUGAAGGAGAGGUCUGUAGGAAAUUUAACCUUACUAAUUGCUGCCUACACAGAGAUAAUCAAGGGCAAGUAGUUGAAGACAUAGUUAGAGAUAUGACGAAACUGGCACAUGUGCCCAUGCAAGUGUGGCAUGGAUUUGAUCCUGGGGCCAUGUUUAGAAAAUGGUUCCCAGCGCUAGGAGGAUUUAAAACUCUUAUAAUUAAGAGUUAUAAUAGUAAUAGGAACCUACUUGCUGCUCCCUCGUUUGCUACCCGUACUUCUUCAAAUGAUAAAAAGCUUCAUCGCUACCUUAGUAUACCAAAAUGCUUCAGCACAAGUGUACUAUAUAAAUCACUAUUGAUCUGUCUUGCAAGAAGACAUGGGUAGUAAAAAUGAAAGUGAGAACUCCCACUAUUGAGUGAGAGUCUCAAAGUGGGGGAAUAAGGGAGGAGACCACCCCUCAUAUUGUCUUAUGCCCAAUUUCUGCCUCCAAAGAAAGAAAAAGUAAAAACUAAAAGGCAGAAAUGAAAUCCACAAGCAGACAGCCCGGAUGCCACACCCUGGGCCUGGUAGUUAAAAAUCAAUCCCGGACCUAAUCGGUUAUGUUAUCUAUAGAUUACAGACAUUGUAUAGAAAAGCAUUGUGAAAAUCCCUUUCCUGUUUUGUUCCAAUCUAAUUACCAGUGCGUGCAGCCCCCAGUCACGUACCUCCUGCUUGCUCAAUCGAUCACGACCCUCUCACGCACACCCCCUUAGAGUUGUGAGCCCUUAAAAGGGACAGGAAUUGCUCACUUGGGGCUCGGCUCUUGAGACAGGAGUCUUGCUGAUGCCCCCGGCCUAAUAAACCCCUUCCUUCUUU